CAUGUUUGAAAAUUUCCAUUAUUUUGAAAUAGUUUGUCUGUCGUAAUUUUAACAAUUUCACGAGUUUAUUCUUUUGCAUCUAGUUCCUGCUUUUUUGCAUUUAUCUUCUUUAAUAGGAGAUUAUUCUACCUCACAAGAAGUGACUUGUUGGAAUCGCUCUAAACCUCCGGUUUAAAUUGCUUUAUAGAAUGAAGUUUAAAGAUACCACUGAUUCGAAAAAGUAAUGGAGGAAAUCACAGAAAAAGUAACUGACAAUGUUUAAAGAUAACUUUGUAAAAGCUCAAAAAGCGAACGACAAGUUCCGAUAUGAAAAAACAGGCAACGUUACUUAAUAUUCUGUUGUAAUAAGAUGGGGUGAAAUCUAUUGUUUCUCAGAAAAAACCGUCCAGAAAAUGUUCUUGAUGUAGACUAAGAGAAGCUGAAGACGGCAGAACAAUAAAGCGUCUUUCCUUGACUUUCUUAUUUAUUAAUAAUUUCUUACUUACUUCUGUGUUAUCCCUCAAAGGUUUUAACGCACUUGCCCUUCAAUGAAAUAUACCCGGCUCUACAAGGAGCACUAAAGAUAUUAAAAACCGUAAGCACAUUAAAUUGCACAUGAGAAAUAGUGGACUCGGUUUCAGCAGUUACAGUUGAAGUACCAUCAGUCUCACUAUCUGUUUCUUCAAGUUCGGCUUUAGUUAGUUUUAGUUUCAGAUGGAUUAACAAGCAGAAUGCGACUAAAUAUUUGAGCGUCAUAAUGCUACAGUUUUCAAUCUAGAAUACUUACCAGCUUUAUUUCAACAAAACGUUUUGUAAAAUGAUCAGAGGCGUAUUGGAUUGAAGUCAGACAACGAUCAUGUUUCCAUUGGAAUGAAUGAACGUUUGUGAAUAUUGAAGCAAUUUGAAGCAAACGAAAAAGUUAGGAAGUCAGGACCUCAAGGGCUUAAUCAGGUAUCAAUCAAGGGAUGGUUAACCCGUAAAUAAGGCUAGAAAACUCAGAAAUCAAGUACAAUUCAAAUUGAAGAAGGUUUUGACCAUAAUAAAAAACUUAAAAUGACAAUUUUCAUGAUCGACUUAGGAGCAGGUCCAUUUGAAACUCAAGCAAAACCUAACGCGAGAAAAUGUUACUUUCUGGGCCACAAAAAUCUUAAGUGCCACGGAUACAAGAAGGAAACUUUCUGAAGACUGAAUCUUCUUCUGAGACUGGAACUUCAGUUAAAUGAGAAGUAUGCUGAAUUACAUCAAAAUUAAUGGAAAAAACCCUAGCGAUUUAAUCAGAAAAAUAAAAAGCAUUUCGUGCAGUAUAGGAGAACUUGAGGAACGUUCUAGGUCUAGCAAUUAAGCCAAAUGUUUCUUUGAUUAUCACGAACGAUAAGAACAGAAGUGAGUCACCAAAGAACAAAUCCCAACAGAAACAUCUAGAAAAUCGGUCAAUUGAAAAACUCCUUUUGCAGUCAAGGAACUAACACUGCAUUUCCAAAAAACCAAGGAACAAACCUGGAAAAUUCAACUUACCAUUUUCCAUUAACUUCUUUUACACAAUUUCCGUUAACCAUCACAUAACCAGUCUUGCAAGGUACGUUAAUAAU